CCCUUAGAUGUUCUGGGCUGCACGCGCGCUACACUGAUGCGUUCAACAAGUGUUAACCUUGCCCGAUAGGGUUGGGUAAUCUUUUGAAAGCGCAUCGUGAUGGGGAUCGAUGACUGCAAUUGUUCAUCUUCAACGAGGAAUUCCUAGUAAGCGCAAGUCAUCAGCUUGCACUGAUUACGUCCCUGCCCUUUGUACACACCGCCCGUCGCUCCUACCGAUUGAAUGAUCCGAUGAAUACCAUGGAUUGAGAGUACGAAUGGGUUCGCUCAUUUCUGCUGCUCGAGAAGUGGAGUAAAUCUUAUCAUUUAGAGGAAGGAGAAGUCGUAACA
rnacentral:rRNA from 1 species